CCACCUGACCCCAUGCCGAACUCAGAAGUGAAACGCCGUAGCGCCGAUGGUAGUGUGGGGUCUCCCCAUGCGAGAGUAGGACACUGCCAGGCA
rnacentral:rRNA from 3 species